AAAGUUACUCAGUACAUAUAUCACUAAAAGGUAGCAAUUGCUUAAUAAAAUAAUUAAGAUACGUGAUCCGGACAAUACUACUAUUUUUUUUAUUAAAUAAAGGGGAGAUGGAAAAAGUCUCGUGAUAAACUGGAUUGGCAGAUAUCUGCUAUUAAUUUAUUGCCACAAAAAAACUCAGGAGGGUAUCCUGCAAAUAGUUUAUUCUUAGGUUUCCAAACGAAUAAAUAAACUAAAUAUUCUUUCUUUCCUCUUCUGUGCAUCUCCCCAAUUGAUUGUGACAUGCACUCAUAAAAAACAGCACCAUCUCCUUUGUAUAGAAUAUCCGUAGCUCUCUAACAGAAUGAUUGAAUCUCAUUCGCUGGACAAGAGUGAUUGCUCCAAUGGUAGCACAUUUCACCUGCAACUUAGGAUGUGGGUUCGAAUCAUCAAAGGAGCAACAACUUUAACAUAAGGGAUCAAAACAGAAUCAAAGAGAAGAAAAAUAAAAAAAAGAAAUAUUAAAUCAAGAAUAUACGAUUAUGUGAAAUUGAAGUGACCAUUUUUUUAAAAAUAAAAAAUCACAUUAGUAGUUGAAAAGAUAAUAUCUAUUGGGUGGUACAUAAUGAAUCUCGAAAAUUAAUAUGUGGAUUGCUACAUGGAACUUAGUUCAAAGGGAGAUUGUUGAGUGUACGAACAAAGUCUCACAUUGAUAGUUAAAAAGAUUGAAAGCUUAAAUAUAAAUUAUAGGGAUCUGCUAGUGGUGUGAGACCUUUUAGAAAAAAAUAAUACGAGUCUGAUGUUAUUGGGUUGAUUUGCCUAACAAUAUCAAAUGUUAAAUCGGCCUUGAUAUAAAAGAAGCUUAUUUAGUGUAGCAAUAAAGGUGACUCAAUUUUUCUUUGAGAAAUUUUCAUAAAACACUAUAAUUUAGAGUCUAGUAACUAUUGUUUGCCUAAUUACCAUUUAUAGUUAUUCUUCAAUUGUUACCAACUUGUAUCAUUUAUAUUCAAACGCGCAAUGAAUACAACUUGUGUCAACUGUAUUAGUUCGCGCAACGAAUACAACUUGUAUCAACUGUAUUCGUUUGCGCAAUUGUAUUAGUUCGCGCAACAAAUUGUAUUCUUUUCUUUCUUCUUCAUGUUUGUCUCACUUGUCUUUUCGAAGUAUUGGAAUAACGAUAAAGUUGUUACAGUGUAACCUAUAUGAAUCACGAGUUUAAAAGGGCAACUCAGUGCACAAUUUAUCCCGCGUUCAUGCAUGGUCCGGGGAAGAACCGCACUCAAGGGGUGUGAUGUAGACAGUCUAACCUAAUGAAUCACAAGUUUGAGCCGUAGAAUUAGUUACUGAUCCUUAUGCCAGGGUAGGCACCUCCUUGGGGUACGACCAUUCUCCGAACCAUGCGUAAACUCCUGUUACUUUGUGUACCGAAUUGCACGAUUUUGUCUCUUCUUCCUUUGAACUAGUUACUCCACACGCAAGUAUAGUCUAUCUGUUCCAAUUUAUGUGUCGAACUUUUUUUAGUCUGUCCCAAAAAUAAAUGUCAUACUUUCUUAUUUAAAAAUAAUCUAACUUUAAACUUUCUUCUUUAUCCUUAAUGAGAUGAUUAAUUUAUAACCACACAAAUAUCUAUAAUUUAUUUUAAAUUAAUUGGUGUUGAUUUCAAGAUACUUGAAAUCCUCUAUGCAUUUUUUGGAAGGUUAUGGUGGAUCCAGAUGCUCCAAUCCCAAGCAACCCAAACGAGAGGGAGUAUCUCCACUAGUAAUAUUAUGAUCCAUCUUUUAUUUUUUUCUGUUCUUUUUAUUAAAAGAGAAAAAUAUUUUCUCUGUUUCAAUUUAUGUGAUAGUGUAUAAUUUUGCAUGGAGUUUAAGAAUAAAAAAAAUUAACAUUAUGGUCUAAAAUAAGUCAUAGAAUUUUUGUGGGUAUAAAUCAUCACAGAAUAAAAUGAAAAGUUUAAAAUUAAACUAUUAUUAAAUAUUAAAAUUUAAUUAAAACAUUUUCAACGUGUUUGGGAGUAAGACAUAAUAAUAGUAGUAGUAGUUGUUGUACUAAAAAUAAAAAAUAUUAUUCUUUUUUGGGUGGACUAAAAAGGAAAAAAUAUCAAGAGAAUAAUAUUCUUAGUUUUGGCAUGAAUCACACUUUAAAUUAAAUGUCUUGCACUGACCUUUGUACUUGAUUGCUUGAACUUGAACUUGAUUGCUUGAACUUGAAUUUGUGGAGAAAUUUGAAGUGUUUGAUCCACGAGCUCUUUCUUGCUUCUUG
rnacentral:lncRNA from 1 species